CCCAUCCUACACGAGCCGUUGCUGGUGAGACCCACCUGCGUGCGCUGCGCUGUGGAGCAGGAUCAGCACUGCCAUCCAGGCUCUGCCUGUGCCCGAUGCACAAAACCGUGUGUUUGAGGAAGUACUUCUGGAGUUUGAAAAGCAUUGCUGGGGUUUGAGCUGGCUGUGGGUGGAAGGACCGAGCCUGGAAGGAAACCCCGUGUGAAAUCCCCAGCCUGCUUUGCAGAUGUUGGGCUGCUUCUGGGUGAGAUUUUAGCUUUUGCAGAUGUCUGAAACGCUCCCGGUGGGCUUGGUGCCUCGCUGCAGUAAACACAGGGACUAUUUUGAUGGAGCCGGAGAAGUGAUGACACAAAUAGCUGAUGACACAAAUAGUUCUGCUGGCGGAGCAGCAGAGGUGGCAACCUCUGGAUGGGAGCCAUGAGCAGCAGCUGCAGACAGGCACCUCUUCAUGGAGCUGGAACAGGAUGCACAGCCCAGGGCUCCUGUCACCAUCCCACCAGUAUCACCAGGAAAGCUGUGACCCGGAUGAGCCGUUCAGUCUCCUUCCUGCACAGUAAGUAAUG
ensembl:lncRNA